AGCAUAUCAAUGAGCGGAGGAAAAGAAACUAACAAGGAUUCCCCUAGUAACUGCGAGUGAAGCGGGAAAAGCUCAAAUUUAAAAUCUGGCAGCCUUUGGCUGUCCGAGUUGUAAUUUAGAGAAGUGGUAUCCGUGCUGGACCGUGUAUAAGUUUCCUGGAAAGGAGCAUCAUAGAGGGUGACAAUCCCGUCUUUGACACGGACUCCCAGUGCUUUGUGAUACGCUCUCAAAGAGUCGUGUUGUUUGGGAAUGCAGCACUAAAUGGGUGGUAAAUUCCAUCUAAAGCUAAAUAUUGGCGAGAGACCGAUAGCGAACAAGUACCGUGAGGGAAAGAUGAAAAGAGCUUUGGAAAGAGAGUUAAACAGUACGUGAAAUUGNUGAAAGGGAAACGCUUGAAGCCAGUCACGUUGGUUAGAAAUCAGCCUUGCUUUGCUUGGUGUACUUUNUAGCCGACGGGUCAACAUCAGUUUUGGNUGCUGGAAAAAGGCUUGGGGAAUGUGGCACCUUCGGGUGUGUUAUAGCCCUUUGUCAUAUACAAUGGCUGGGACUGAGGAACUCAGCGCGCCGCAAGGACGGACUUCGGUCACGUUCGCGCUUAGGAUGU
rnacentral:rRNA from 1 species